GAAAUGCGAUAAGUAAUGUGAAUUGCAGAAUUCAGUGAAUCAUCGAAUCUCUGAACGCACAUUGCGCCCGCCAGUAUUCUGGCGGGCAUGCCUGUUCGAGCGUCAUUACAACCCUCAGGCCCCCGGGCCUGGCGUUGGGGAUCGGCGGAAGCCCCCUGCGGGCACAACGCCGUCCCCCAAAUACAGUGGCGGUCCCGCCGCAGCUUCCAUUGCGUAGUAGCUAACACCUCGCAACUGGAGAGCGGCGCGGCCACGCCGUAAAACACCCAACUUCUGAAUGUUGACCUCGAAUCAGGUAGGAAUACCCGCUGAACUUAAGC
rnacentral:misc_RNA from 1 species